rnacentral:rRNA from 1 species
GACUCGGCGAGAAGUCCAUUGAACCUUAUCAUUUAGAGGAAGGAGAAGUCGUAACAAGGUUUCCGUAGGUGAACCUGCGGAAGGAUCAUUGUCGAGACCGAAAUAAACAACGAGCGACUCGGAGAACCCGUGAAAAGACGUGCGGCGGCUGUCGCCCCCUCUCCUCUCGCGGGGGGCGGGGGGCGCGGCGGAGGACGGAUCAAAACACAAACCGGCGCAGCAUCGCGCCAAGGGAAAGCUGAAAGGCACGAGCCCCGCGUCGGGCUCGGUGGCGUGGAGUGCUGUUGCACGCCAUGCGGAUGGACACGACUCUCGGCAAUGGAUAUCUCGGCUCUCGCAUCGAUGAAGAGCGCAGCGAAAUGCGAUACGUGGUGCGAAUUGCAGAAUCCCGCGAACCAUCGAGUCUUUGAACGCAAGUUGCGCCUGAGGCCAGCCGGCCGAGGGCACGUCCGCCUGGGCGUCAGGCUUCGCGUCGCUCCGCGCCUGCGCCGUUCCGCCAGACGGGGCAGGCUCGGAUGUGCAGGGUGGCCCGUCGUGCCGGUCGGUGCGGCGGGCUGAAGAGCGGGCUACGUCUCGCCGGCCACGAACAACAAGGGGUGGGUGAAAGCUGUGAGCGCAGCCCGCGUUGUCUCGUGCUGGCCCGAGAGAUGGAUUGUGCCCUCGAGGUGAUCCCGACCAAUGCGCCGGCCCGGAUGCGUCGGCUUUGGAAUGCGACCCCAGGAUGGGCGAGGCCACCCGCCGAGUUUAAGCAUAUC